rnacentral:rRNA from 1 species
CCUACGGGAGGCAGCAGUGGGGAAUAUUGCACAAUGGGGGAAACUCUGAUGCAGCGACGCCGCGUGAGUGAAGAAGUAAUUCGUUAUGUAAAGCUCUAUCAGCAGGGAAGAAAAUGACGGUACCUGAGUAAGAAGCCCCGGCUAACUACGUGCCAGCAGCCGCGGUAAUACGUAGGGGGCAAGCGUUAUCCGGAUUUACUGGGUGUAAAGGGAGCGUAGACGGCAGUGCAAGUCUGGAGUGAAAGGCGGGGGCUCAACCCCCGGACUGCUUUGGAAACUGUACGGCUGGAGUGCAGGAGAGGUAAGUGGAAUGUCUAGUGUAGCGGUGAAAUGCUUAGAUAUUAGGAGGAACACCAGUGGCGAAGGCGGCUUACUGGACUGUAACUGACGUUGAGGCUCGAAAGCGUGGGGAGCAAACAGGAUUAGAUACCCCAGUAGUC